AAAUGGAAUCAGAGUAGGAUAGCGAAGGCAAGAGGUUUCCCCAUGGCACUCAUCCUUUGGCAACACUUAGGACUCACUUUAGAAUCACAGAAUCACCAAGGUUGGAAAAGCCCUCGAAGAUCAUCUGCUCCAGCGUUCCACCACUUUAGGAAGGAGCUGUUUUUUUUCUAAAGAUAAACUACUGUGUUUUUCAAAGACUUGAUGUCUCUCAAACACUGCAGAUUAACAGAACCAUAUUGCUUUAUUCGCGUCAAGGACAUCAUCAUCAGAGGUGGCAGAUAGCAGGAAUACGCAGCUGGAGGGACAGGAAGAAGAACUUGGUGAGAGCAAGUGAACAGGAACAGAAGUGAACAGUAAAGCUUUGAAGGUAACAGAGCGCUGGAACAGGAUGCCCAGAGAGGUUGUGGAGUCUUCUCCUCUGGAGAUAUUCAAAACCCACACAGAUGCUUUCCUGUGCAACCUACUGUAGGGAACCUGCUUCAGCAGGGGGGUUGAACUGACGAUCUCCAGAGUUCCCUUCCAACCCCCGUGAUUCUGUGACUGCAGGACUGUGUGAAGACUGUGUUAGAAAUGUGCUGGAGAUAGGUAGAGCGGCGAAAGAUAAGUAGUUUUUAACCAAAAAGGCAAAUUAUUAGCCUACGGGAACAAACCUUUCAGAAGUAUCUUGGAAUUUUAAUGUUCACAUACCUGCCUGUAACUGUCAGGUCUGCUGUGCUUACUGGGGGACAUUUGAGAGAGGUGUGCUCUACAGUAAAUCCCAGCUGUUGUUCAUGGGAAUGUGAAAAUUUCCUGCCUCAGUGAGCUGGGUAAGUUACUUCCACUGAUUUUUAAGAUUCUAAAUCUGCAAGAAAGGAAUACAAUUCUGCUUCACAGCAAUGUUUAGAGGAAUUCAUAGAUAAUAUUUGUAGAGUGCUUUGAGCUCCGGGUGCAAUAGAUACAAAGAUGGCACUUAUGGUCCACAUAUCGCUACAGAUAACCACUUAUUUCUUCAAAGAGAUGAAGUGACAACAGCCAUCUCAACCUAAGCAGGGAACAUUACAAGUCACCCCACAGCCUGGUCUCUACCCCUGCCUGAGCUUAAUGGCUCCUGCUUCAUGAAUAUGAUGCCCUUUUAUUCAUACGUCUUUGG
ensembl:lncRNA